UUUCCGUAGGUGAACCUGCGGAAGGAUCAUUACUGAGUAAGGGCCCUCUGGGUCCAUCCAUCCACCCGCGUUUAUUAUACAUUGUCGCUUCUGUUCGCCCUCCUCACGGCCGCCCGGCGACAUCUGCUCCAGCUGCCUCUCUCACCACUAACACCUAUAAAUCAGUAUGAAACAUCUAGCCUGAACAAAAACCAAAUAAGUUAAAACUUUCAACAACGGAGCUCUUCGUUCCAGCACCGAUCAAGAACGCAGCAGCUAGGAAGAGCACAGUACUCAAUC
rnacentral:misc_RNA from 1 species